rnacentral:rRNA from 1 species
GAUGAACGCUGGCGGCGUGCUUAACACAUGCAAGUCGAACGGAAAGGCCAUUCCUUUGACUGGUACUCGAGUGGCGAACGGGUGAGUAACACGUGAGUAACCUGCCCUUUACUUUGGGAUAACUUCAGGAAACUGGGUCUAAUACCGGAUAGGACCUCUUGCUGCAUGGUGGUGUUUAGAACGUUUCGGCGGUAGGGGAUGGGCUCGCGGCUUAUCAGCUUGUUGGUGGGGUAGUGGCUUACCAAGGCUUUGACGGGUAGCCGGCCUGAGAGGGUGCACGGCCACAUUGGGACUGAGAUACGGCCCAGACUCCUACGGGAGGCAGCAGUGGGGAAUAUUGCACAAUGGGCGGAAGCCUGAUGCAGCAACGCCGCGUGCGGGAUGAAGGCCUUCGGGUUGUAAACCGCUUUCGCCAGUGACGAAGCGUAAGUGACGGUAAUUGGUAAAGAAGCACCGGCUAACUACGUG